GGUCCAGACUCCUACGGGAGGCAGCAGUGGGGGAUAUUGCACAAUGGGGGAAACCCUGAUGCAGCGACGCCGCGUGUGGGAAGACGGUCUUCUGGAUUGUAAACCACUGUCCCCAGGGACGAAAAUGACGGUACCUGGGGAGGAAGCCCCAGCUAACUACGUGCCAGCAGCCGCGGUAAUACGUAGGGGGCAAGCGUUAUCCGGAUUUACUGGGUGUAAAGGGAGCGUAGGCGGCUGUGUAAGCCAGAAGUGAAAGCCCGGGGCUCAACUCCGGGACUGCUUUUGGAACUGCAUGGCUUGAUUGCAGGAGAGGCAAGUGGAAUUCCUAGUGUAGCGGUGAAAUGCGUAGAUAUUAGGAGGAACACCAGUGGCGAAGGCGGCUUGCUGGACUGUAAAUGACGCUGAGGCUCGAAAGCGUGGGGAGCAAACAGGAUUAGAUACCCGCGUAU
rnacentral:rRNA from 1 species